rnacentral:pre_miRNA from 1 species
CUCUGUGUGAUAAAGUGCUUACAGUGCAGGUAGUAAUUUCUUUGGCCUACCGCAUUGUGAGCACUUCUUUCCCACGCUG